AUUGAACGCUGGCGGCAGGCCUAACACAUGCAAGUCGAGCGGAUGAAGGGAGCUUGCUCCUGGAUUCAGCGGCGGACGGGUGAGUAAUGCCUAGGAAUCUGCCUGGUAGUGGGGGAUAACGUCCGGAAACGGGCGCUAAUACCGCAUACGUCCUGAGGGAGAAAGUGGGGGAUCUUCGGACCUCACGCUAUCAGAUGAGCCUAGGUCGGAUUAGCUAGUUGGUGGGGUAAAGGCCUACCAAGGCGACGAUCCGUAACUGGUCUGAGAGGAUGAUCAAUCACACUGGAACUGAGACACGGUCCAGACUCCUACGGGAGGCAGCAGUGGGGAAUAUUGGACAAUGGGCGAAAGCCUGAUCCAGCCAUGCCGCGUGUGUGAAGAAGGUCUUCGGAUUGUAAAGCACCUUAAGUUGGGAGGAAGGGCAGUAAGUUAAUACCUUGCUGUUUUGACGUUACCAACAGAAUAAGCACCGGCUAACUUCGUG
rnacentral:rRNA from 1 species